CAGCAGCCGCGGGAAUACGAAGGGGGCGAGCGUUAUUCGGAACCACUGGGCGUAAAGCGUGCGUAGGCGGUUCUAAAAGUUAGAAGUGAAAGCCCAGGGCUUAACCCUGGAAUUGCUUUUAAAACUAUAGGACUAGAAUUCGGGAGAGGAUAGCGGAAUUGUCAGUGUAGCAGUGAAAUGCGUAGAUAUUGACAGGAACACCAGUGGCGUAAGCGGCUAUCUGGACCGACAUUGACGCUGAGGCACGAAAGCGUGGGGAUCAAACAGGAUUAGAUACCCCAGUAGUCCCUGUCUCUUAUAC
rnacentral:rRNA from 1 species